AGAACGAGCGCUGGCGGCAUGCCUAAUACAUGCAAGUCGAACGAACUCUUCGGAGUUAGUGGCGCACGGGUGCGUAACGCGUGGGAAUCUGCCCCUUGGUUCGGAAUAACAGUUGGAAACGACUGCUAAUACCGGAUGAUGACGAAAGUCCAAAGAUUUAUCGCCAAGGGAUGAGCCCGCGUAGGAUUAGCUAGUUGGUGAGGUAAAGGCUCACCAAGGCAACGAUCCUUAGCUGGUCUGAGAGGAUGAUCAGCCACACUGGGACUGAGACACGGCCCAGACUCCUACGGGAGGCAGCAGUAGGGAAUAUUGGACAAUGGGCGAAAGCCUGAUCCAGCAAUGCCGCGUGAGUGAUGAAGGCCUUAGGGUUGUAAAGCUCUUUUACCCGAGAUGAUAAUGACAGUAUCGGAGAAUAAGCCCCGGCUAACUCCGUGCCAGCAGCCGC
rnacentral:rRNA from 1 species